ensembl:snoRNA
CAGGCUGUUUCCCUGGCAGUGGCACUUUGUGGCCAUGGACUCCCCAGCUGCAUGCAAGAGCAACAUGAGACACAUUGGCAGCUUCAGGCAGCACAAUAGCUGCAGCUGCCACUCACCUUUCCUAUGAUG